rfam:Cicer arietinum chromosome Ca1, whole genome shotgun sequence.
CCGUCAGGGGGAUGAUGUAUUAUUAUAGCGCCCUUAAGAUGCUUGCCUUUCUUGAUUCAGCAUCUGAGAUGGACGUAAGACAG